rnacentral:miRNA from 1 species
UCCAACGAUGCGGGAGCUGC